rnacentral:lncRNA from 1 species
AGUAGGGUCGUACUGGGGUGGCUCAACCUGUGGCAACAGGGGAGGGUCAGGUAGCUCCCACCUCUCCUCUCGGCCCUGUUAGGCAGCAAUGAGUCUCUCUAACAUCUCAAAUAUCCUGUCAACGUCUUCCCUAAGUGAACCAUCCCGGGCUGCUUGGUUUAGUGGGGGUCUUCCUCCUCUCAUCUCUCUAUACCUACAUUCACAAGGAAGGGUUGAGUGAUAAU